rnacentral:rRNA from 1 species
GACGAACGCUGGCGGCGUGCUUAACACAUGCAAGUCGAGCGGAAAGGCCACUUCGUUGGUGCUCGAGGGGCGAGCGGGGGGGUAACACGUGAGAAACCUGCCCCACCCUCUCGGAUAGCCAGCAGAAACGGAGGUUAAUGCCGGUAAUGACCAAAAUUCUCUUGCGGUGGGUUGGAAAGUUUUUGGGUGAGGGGUUGGCUCGCGGCCGAUCAGCUUGAUCGUGAGGUAGUGGCUCACCAUGGCUUCGACGGGUAGCCGGCCUGAGAGGGUCACCGGUCACACUGGGACUGAGACGCGACCCAGACGCGUACGGGACGCAGAAGUGGGGAAUAGUGUACAGUGGGCGGGAGGCUGGUCUGACAACGCCGCGUGGGGGAUGACGGUCUUCGGGUAGUAAACCACUUUCAGUUCGUACGUGGCGAGAGUGACGGUAGCUACAGAAGAAGCACCGGCCAACUACGUG